GUUCUGUUUAAUUAAGAUUUUCUUAUCCCCUGCUAUGUUAAUAGCUUGCUAGACCCUGCAAGAGCCUCCUGUAUGUGAUUAAAGUUCAAUUUAGAGAUUGAGAUAUAAUUAUUUAAGGUAAAUUACAUCUGUUUGAAGGUGAAACCAGUUUUUUUUUCAUGCAGGCUCUGUCAAUCACAGCCAGGGGAGGUGUGGCUAGGGCUGCAUAAACAGAAACAAAGUGAUUUAACUCCUAAAUGACAGUGAAUCGAGCAGUGAAAUUGCAGGGGAAUGAUCUAUACACUAAAACUGCUUUAUUUAGCUAAAGUAAUUUAGGUGACUAU